rnacentral:lncRNA from 1 species
UUUGUGGAUGAGUCAAUGAAGAAACUUGUCAAAGCACUUCAAUUAAAACACAGAAACUAUAGAAAAUCAUCUGGUAAACGUGCUGAUGAUGUCCUAAACCUGAUCACUUGUCUCAAAAUUUAGAAAGUUAAUGGCUGAAGAUUCAGCAGCCAUUCUGAACUCGAAAUUACAUGUUAAGGCUAUUAUAGAAGAAAUAAAGAAAUUAAAUCUCUAUGUCCCCAAGGUAUCUCUAUACCGGCCUGGAAUGCCUAUCUCCAAACCUCCUUUACAUGAAACAGAAACAGGUUCUAUCACCUUAAAAUCUGUUACUUUAGGUUUUUUUCAUUAUGAGCAGCUAAAAUGAAUCUUACUUGAUACAGUGUGUGUUCAUGGAUUAGGGCAUUGUUUGAUAAGAGGAGUAAGAAAAGAAUAUAAAUUGUAUUGGCCCUGAUAUGCCACAAACAAUGAGGGCUGAAGCCAAACUAAUCAAAGAAUAAACUCAAAUACAAAGAACAA